ensembl:miRNA
UUUUCCAAUGAGUUAGUCCUUUGGGCACUGAUGCGAAGAACUAACUCAUUGGAAGAG